rnacentral:rRNA from 1 species
AGAGUUUGAUCAUGGCUCAGGACGAACGCUGGCGGCGUGCUUAACACAUGCAAGUCGAACGGUGAAGGAGGAGCUUGCUCCUCUGGAACAGUGGCGAACGGGUGAGUAACACGUGAGCAAUCUGCCCCGAACUCUGGGAUAAGCGUUGGAAACGACGUCUAAUACCGGAUACGACGCGCGAAGGCAUCUUCUGCGCGUGGAAAGAACUUCGGUUCGGGAUGAGCUCGCGGCCUAUCAGCUAGUUGGUGAGGUAACGGCUCACCAAGGCGACGACGGGUAGCCGGCCUGAGAGGGUGACCGGCCACACUGGGACUGAGAUACGGCCCAGACUCCUACGGGAGGCAGCAGUGGGGAAUAUUGCACAAUGGGCGCAAGCCUGAUGCAGCAACGCCGCGUGAGGGACGACGGCCUUCGGGUUGUAAACCUCUUUUAGUAGGGAAGAAGCGAAAGUGACGGUACCUGCAGAAAAAGCACCGGCUAACUACGUGCCAGCAGCCGCGGUAAUACGUAGGGUGCAAGCGUUGUCCGGAAUUAUUGGGCGUAAAGAGCUCGUAGGCGGUUUGUCGCGUCUGCUGUGAAAACCCGAGGCUCAACCUCGGGCCUGCAGUGGGUACGGGCAGACUAGAGUGCGGUAGGGGAGAUUGGAAUUCCUGGUGUAGCGGUGGAAUGCGCAGAUAUCAGGAGGAACACCGAUGGCGAAGGCAGAUCUCUGGGCCGUAACUGACGCUGAGGAGCGAAAGCGUGGGGAGCGAACAGGAUUAGAUACCCUAGUAGUCC